GACUGGUGAGUAACACGUGGGUGACAUACCUUUUAGUUGGGGAUAGCUAUUAGAAAUAGUAGAUAAUACCGAAUGCGACCAUAACAGUUUGAGUGUUAUGAGGAAAGGAGCUAAGGCUUCGCUAAAAGAUUGGCCCGCGGCCCAUUAGCUAGUUGGUGAGGUAAAGGCCCACCAAGGCGAUGAUGGGUAUCCGGCCUGAGAGGGUGAACGGACACAUUGGGACUGAGAUACGGCCCAGACUCCUACGGGAGGCAGCAGCUAAGAAUAUUCCGCAAUGGACGAAAGUCUGACGGAGCGACGCCGCGUGGAUGAAGAAGGUCGAAAGAUUGUAAAAUCCUUUUGAAUAUGAAGAAUAAGUGUUGUAGGGAAUGAUAACACGAUGACCGUAGUAUUUGAAUAAGCAACGGCUAAUUACGUGCCAGCAGCCGCGGUAACACGUAAGUUGCGAGCGUUGUUCGGAAUUAUUGGGCGUAAAGGGCAUGUAGGCGGUUUGGCAAGCUUGGUGUGAAAUCCCAGAGCUCAACUCUGGAACUGCAUUGAGAACUGCUAGACUAGAAUUACUAAGGGGCAACUAGAAUUCCAAGUGUAGGGGUGAAAUCUGUAGAUAUUUGGAAGAAUACCAAUGGCGAAGGCAAGUUGCUGGUAGAUAAUUGACGCUGAGGUGCGAAAGUGCGGGGAUCAAACAGGAUUAGAUACCCCGGUAGUCCGCACAGUAAACGAUGUACACUAGGUGUUUGGUCAUGAGACUGGGUGCCAAAGCAAACGUGAUAAGUGUACCGCCUGGGGAGUAUGCUCGCAAGGGUGAAACUCAAAGGAA
rnacentral:rRNA from 1 species